UUUUCGAAUAGCCAGUGUAAUUAUAUUGAUUAGGAUGGUUUCGGCACAGAAGACAUUCGGGGUCUCGAAAAGGGAGAAAUUAAUUUUUUCCUCCGGGUGUGACUAGCAUAUUAAGUUGUGUAAUGAAAGAGAAGGGGAACCCACUGUAUUUAGUUCAUUAGCUUCCGUUUUUAAAAGUAUAUAUAAUUUAAGGCUGUAUAGAAAUAUAUAUUCAUCUGGUCGUAGUUCAACUCACAGUGAACUCAUAAAUCAGAAAAACAAUCAUAGCAAACAUUCUAAGAAAAUAUCGCCCGUGGCCCGUAAAAAAUUAGGAUAUCACUAGAGCUCCUCCCAUUUUGCAGCCCCCAACUCCUCAGCGCCGCCGCUGGCGGGGAAUCCCCUUUUGGCCAAAACCGAGGAGCAAACAAUUUAUGCAGGGACAUGUUUAGUGCUGCAGAUGCUCCAGGAAAAGCCUAUUUGCAGAAGGAUGACAAAGGCGCUGACUUUGGGAGAUUAAACAUGGCCUUUAUGCCUCGAGGGAAUCCCUGCGAGCUCAAGUAAAGAUUACUUUAAUGUGCACUUUGCCAGGAAUUAAUUAAGUUUAGCAAGCGAUAGUAGUCACCAUAAAAUGCUGAUCAAAAAUCGAGUUUCUUGAGAAAAAACGUUAAGCUUACUAUUUUAAUAUAGAUGUUAAGGGAAAAUAGGUUGCUCAAAUGAUAUGAAAACCCAUCCAUCAUUUUUCAGAGCUUAUAAAAAGUAACUAAAAUUUUUAGCAGUCACCCGAGAGAACUUUUAAUCUAUUAGCUGGUUGAGUAUGACUUCUAACUUCUGACUUUCUCUUCACAUGGCUUUAUUUCCUAAUAUAUAUUCCGCACUUAUCCCUCGUUUCCAUUCUCUUUGCCCUAAUCAAAACAGGAAAAGAAGGGAAAUAAAAUGGAAACUCAUUAUGUGACCCUCUGCCGAGGUCCUUCCGUCGUCGAACCAAUUUCUUUCUCUAUGCAUUACGUCUCACUUUUAUCGAAGGCAGCACGCAAGGCAAUUUGGCCACACCUCCAAGGAUACGCGACGAUUUUAAGGAAUGGCUGGGUUGCAAAAGCGUAACUCCACUGAAAAGCCUUUUCGAUUUCCACCGAACACAAAAAAACGAGCGUGACAAUACCAAAUGUGACUUUGAAAAUUUGAUAAAUGACCCAAAACUUCCAGACGCAACUUCUUUCGGGGGGAGGGGAUAACUGUUUGGGUUCGAUGUCUGGAAAUGAAAUGAAAUAAAAUUCAAGCCAUAAACGAGAAGCCAAAAGCGGAACUGAAGCGGCUCACGCAAAAGCCAAAAAGAGCCGAAAGAAUGAAUGAAUGAAUGAGUGAGUCAAUGGACGAAAACGUGCGGGGAAAAAAAGGAAAAUCGAAGAGGAAAACCCGCGACACUUUUUCCUUUGACAGUCGACGACGUUGGAAAAGCGAGACACAAGCGCCACAUGUGUGUGUCGCCUUCACUUCUGUUGAUUCAUUUAGGCGGCUGUGUCGUCAAAGGCAAAGAGUGUAGGCACUUUUUCCUUUUUCGCCAUUACUUCCUGCGCUGCCACGCCCCCUAACGAGCCAUCUUGUUCUACGCCCCAAAUUGGCCUGCUUCUACAUUUAUUUUGUACUUAUUUGAUACUCUUAGCCGCCUUUGUUGGGACUUCAAUUCAAAGUCGAAGCAAAUAUUGAUAUUAAAAAAUCGCAUCACGUCGCUUAAGUUUUUUGUAAAUAAUGUUGUGGAAAAUUUAUUACGAAAGCGAAUGUCUGUGUCUAUUCGUGGGCGAACUUGACAUUUUUUUCCACCGUUUGAGGCAGCUGGAUAAAUGCGAUUUAGUGAGAGAUUUACGCAGGCAGCUUUGAAGGGGAUUUUUAGAAUUCUCCAAGAAGCCGAAGGCUUGACAGGUGUCAAUGAAGGGAAGAAAUAAAUGAAAACGAGUGGAAGUUAAGGUAAUGUGCUCUUGGCUAACAUACAAUUGAUUGAGCCAUGAAUCACAGCAACUAGUCUUGGAAAAUCCAAUGAAAUCGGAACUAAGUAAGCUUAUUUAAAGCCAAUAGUUGUCUAUAGUCUUCGAAAGACUCCAUCACUAGCACUAGAAAGCCAACCACAAUCAAUUAGCAUUAUUCAUAAGUCGCAAGGAUUGAAGUGCUUGCAUUUGAAUAAUUUAUGAUUGUCAAUAUAAGCAAUAAAUUGCAAAUGAAAGAGACCCGCCGCACAAAGCAAACAGAGGGAACUGGAAGAAAUAAUAUAAUUUUCAAUAAAUAAAAAGAGCGGCCAGCACAAAUAUAUAUACAUAUAUAUUAUUCAAGAAGAAAUCCUUAUGAGGCGACAAAGUGAGGAAAAGCAAAAAAUAUGAGGGCGAAUCUAUGAGAGAAACGUGAUUCAACUGGCGCCGCAGAGCUGCAAAAUUGAAAAGGACAAGUUAAGCGACCAGGACCACAACAAGGGAAACAAGUGCCCGCUGCAGGACCUGGAACAGGGCUAAUAGAAAAUGGGGAAAAUGGAAAAGCGGGGUAAGCGAGGCGAAAGCAGCAUUAUAAAUCAUGUCUGACUAGUCGGACCCCAGGAUCAGCGAAGGGAAGGACAUUCGCCAGCCCUAUUUCGCCUCUCUGCUCCUCCUUUUUGCUUCAUAGAAACCAACUAAAAUAAAUACACGACAGGGGGGUAGCAGGGGCAAAAAGCCUGAUGAGGAAUAAUGGCGAAUGGAAAAAGCGACAAAGUCAAUUAUGCAGGCAACAGGAAAAGGAAACACAAAGCCAAGGCGUCCUGCGUUAUGCUUUAAUAAACUCAAACUGCCAUUCGCAGAGCUCCAGCUUCACAGAUCCCAGACAGCAUUAUUGAAAUAUUAAUGACCUUCGGUAUAUUCAAAAAAAAGAGAGCAGAAAGUGAAAAGACGACAGCCGACGGCAAAGUUUUGGCUCUUUGCAAAUCGAAUUGCAAAUUGCAAUCAAAACUUAAUCAGUUUAGAGGCUUAGACAAGCCACUGCCACCCACUGUCCUUACCCCACAGCUUCCAUCUACAUCCUUAUGUAGUACAUAUUUGCCUAGCUUUCAAUUAAACAAAAACGCUUGGGUCAGCCAUUCAUUCCAUUCCCCUCGGGAAGUUCCUUGCCUCCAUCCGGGGCAGGAAUGUGGAAUAUUUUUUCAAAAAUUAAAAGGAUUUCGAGCGUCAAUAUUGACACAAGUCUUCAUUGCGGCUGCUCUGCUGAAAUGUUUGGCUGAUGGAAUGAUGAAAUGAAGUGAGUGGGUGCGAUUCUGGCUGAGAAUAACGCAAAUAUGAAUAGAACUUUUCAGCUUUUUGCGGUUUUUCGGUUGGACGGACAUAAUAUUGCCGCCGAUAAAGUGGGUUACUAAAAGAUUCGACUGGCAAGUGGUGACUGCUGAUAAAAUGGAACCAUUUGUUAAAAUGGUUUACAUUGUGCCCACACUUGUUUUUUCAACAAACCAUUAACUUUUUGCUUGCAAAAAAUAGUCAUCUCUGCUUCAUUUAAUUGCUUACUUUAAACACUCCCACUCCUCCUAGACUUAUAUUUAAAUUUAGUAAGCCGAACGAGAGGAAAACCGCACAGGACGAACCGCAACAACCUCGACCAACCGCAAAAAGGAUAAACCAACGGCAGAUGAUAACAAUUGCGAGUGCAGCAACAAUAAAUAAUUAAAUGCAAAUUUUCGCACCUCAGAAUGCAAAUAAAAGGUAAUUGCACUUAAAUGUGCCCAAGCAGGUGCAGCAAUCAGCCUAUAAAUCAUGUCCUGCCACAAGGACAGCAAAUGAAUAAAUGAUAAGCGGGCAACGAAAAGUGGGCGAACAAAGCAAAACUUUGGCAAAGUUUGGGAAAGCCACUAGGAAAAUCUGUCUGAUGUAGUCUACUAGCAGAGGAGAAAGCAGGAGCAAGAUAAAUUUUUUUUAUUUUUUUUUAUCAUUUUAUUUUUUGUUAAUUGUAUUGUACUGCUCAGUUUUCGCAUCCCUCGGCCAGCCUUCAACUGCAAAAACACAUUUAACCCAUUAAUUAAAUGGCCAGCGGGGCGUAUACGCGAUCCGGAAAGUGGUGUGCAAGUGUGAAAAAGUCGAGCAAUUGCGUGAGCUUUUUUGUUCGCGCUUCAAUUAAAUUUAAUUGCAUUUUGAAGGGUCAUAAAUCCCAAACAGUGGCAGCCAAAAAACUACGCACCGUCGACUCCCAGCAUUGUUCUCUCCCUCACUCUCGUUGUCUGUCGCACUCGCACAGCCGAAGAGCGGAACAAAUUGCAGUAUGCAAAGCGGGACAAAAUGCGACCGACCAUUGAUUAAUGGGGGUCCGCAGAUGAAAAGAACGAACAAAACGGGUAAAAUGAAAAUCAAUCACAAUACAAAUUGCCGCCACACUUUAACUUUCGAUGGUUCGAACAUGAAUAAAUGGUAUAUGGUUGGUUUUGGGGACCGAAAUCUAGAGAUCAUAUAGCUUAUUAAAUGCGCCCCCUGCUCAAACACUGCAUUCAUCUGUCAUUGAUGCGUUGUGCAUCAUCAUCUGUGCUGGUGAUAAUUUAUUUAUUGCCUUGACUCGCAGGCCAUCAAAAUAUUAGAAAAACUAAGCGUUCCUCACAUACUGUAGAUAACUUUAAAAAGCUAUAAUGUGGGAUAUAUAUGCUUCUGAGGGAGGGUUGGCGAUAGAACCCGAAGCAAUUCAUUUUAAUUAUUCACGCAGCAAACUCCAAGAUUUCACACUCUGGAGAAAGGAAUACCAAAUUUCAGGGAGGGUAGAACUUCCACUUGAUUUAUGGUUUUGGCUCUGGAGCAAUAUUAGGUGAUAAGAACAUCGAAUUGUAAUUUAUUGUUCGAAAAGCGACCCCCCUAUCUGCGGUUUUAAUUUUAAAGUUUUAUUGGCCUAAAUGGCUUUUUACCUUUGACAGUUUUUAAGAUAAGUUGGGAAACUUUGUACUUAAAGCAAAGUAUUUCCACAGAUUUUCAGCUUAUUUCAAAAUUGUAUUCUGGCGAAUUGGUUUUGCUCGCUAGUUUUCUUAUUGAACUUCUACAGUUUGAUCUCUCGAAACCUCCAAAGCUGCCAGUUCCAGACCCUCAAAUCCGCCCUUUGUGGCACAUCGAGCUUCUUGGCAGAGUCCUCUUGAGUUGGCUGCCGUUUAACCAGCUGCUACCUAGUGGCAGGCCCUCCAAAAAAUCAUAACGCACUCUGUGCAUGUGGCACAAUCGAACUGCACUCCAACGUAGAGAUCUGGAAAUAGUCAAUGUCUGGCCUUCCAAUCGUACUCCACCGUCUCCACGAGACGAGACGAGGAGCAUCUAUGUGUCCCUCCCGUUGGCCCGGCAGCUCCAUAGUUCAUGGACCGGAAAAUGAGGUUAUGCUCGGACUGCUGCCUCGUCUGCGAUGGCAACAUGUUACUUCAGUCGAUGAGUGUGUGUGUGUGUGUGUGUGUGCCUUCUGUGUGAUUUAUGAAGAGCAAUUUUAAUGACAUUUGCUACGAGAGUAUCGACACAUAUCGGUAAUGUUCCUCGGUUUGCUGGCGUGGAGUGGGUGCCCAGCUACAGCUCCUACGGAUGCAUUAACUGCAGCUGACGACUGCCUUUGGCCAGUCAUGCGUGCCAAUAGGCCAGAGAUCCCAGUAACCCGACAAUCCGAGCACCCAGCCCAGCCCACCUCACGACCAUGUCCAUGGUGCUCACUAGCAAGACCUGGACCUGGACACACCUCAAAGUGAUGUCGAUUCGAAUGGUAGAUGUGGAACUUUAUCUGCACGAAUCAAAUACCCUAAGACAAAUAUUACUAACUUGCCAAAUUCGUCUUAUUUAAAUGUAAGCUUUCAGAAGGCCUGGAAUUUAUUAAUAUAAAUUGAAACUUAAUUCCCUUAAUAUGUACAAUUUACAAACUAAUACACAGAUUCACAGACUAAAGAUACAUUGCAUGUAAAUAGCAUUUGUCAGCUACUAAAAGUUAAUUUUUCAAUCUUUUUCAUAUUUAUGAGAAUCUAAUGAAGCGGAUUCCGCAACAUGCACUUUCGAAAAAAAUCAGAUAAUUGUGUCCAUAAAAUGUGACAGUAACUUAUUAAAAAAAAAAAAGAGCUGAAUGAAAUCAGUCUGCGAUGCAUCGAUUUGGAAUCGUUCCACAUCGCUGGAUGGACCCAACCCACUAUGGAAACCAUGGACAUUGGGUGUCCAAAACACUUUGCAUGAAUAAUCGCCGCUCAUAAAUUUGAGUGUGAUAUGCGGCAAUUGACUCCUUUUGUUGCUGCAGUGAUAAGCAAUAGUUUAUUGUGUUGCCUUCUUUUUUCAGUUUUUAUUGCACUUUUCAGUGGGUCACAUGAAUCAGUUUCUGAUGAUUGCCCAAUGGCGAAUCCACACAGCCAGCAUAAAGUGCAAAAUCAUGGGGAUUUGUGCAAAUCUGGUAUUUGUCUGUCGUUUGCCAAACGGGCAAACUUCUGCAGUUGCAAUGCUUUAUUUGACUCACUGUGGUAAAUAAAUAACGAGCACUAUUGAGCCACAUAUAUCCACGUACAUAUACUUUUUAUGGAAAUUUACUGAAUUUUCCAUUUCAAUUGCCUUUUGAGUGGAAAAAUAUGUAAAUUUCGAUGAAGCGCAUGGACAAUAGUCGAGGCUAGGCAAUGCAUGCCCAUCGAGGCGAUGUGUGCAGUAAAUUGCAGUUUGCCAAAAACAUUUUUGCCAUUCGCUCGAUGCCCCCCACAAGUCACCAUUUUCCCCCCUCUCAGUUCGCAACUCGGUGAAAUUUAUGGCCAGCGGCUAUUUUAAUGUGUGGAAAUGAGAACUUUCUUGAUAUACGACCAACACGAUCGGGUACAGAUAUUAUAUUGACAGUAGCAGAAGCCCAACAUCCUAGUCCAGUUAUUGGUUUCUACUUUGGCUGGAGUGGCAAACUCAGAUGGAUACAUUCGAAGCAACAGCCUAAAAAUAUCAAGCACAUUUUGAUAUCUUUCAAUAUUUGAUGUGUUGCUUUUCAUUUCCCCAAGGCUGCUCGCAACUUCUGUCUUCAGACAGAAACAAUUAAAUGUGACACACAUCCAUUUACCAGUUUUAUUUAACAACCAAACUACCAAUCUGCUAGUGUGUGCCAAAAAAGAAAGAUUUAUAUUUGCCAUUUUCCACACUCAACCUGGAGAAAGAGUCCAAGUGAAGGUCCCUCCGAUGCAGUCUUAUUUUUGGUCCUAGUGCUCCGCUGCUGCUGAUUUGUUGCCGAUGUGUUCUUUCACUAAACUCACUUAAAUUCAUGUUAUUUCCGCAUGUUUCACACCACUCACCUACCGCUCCUCGAUUCCCUAGCUCCAAACUAAUCCCCACAUCGCGUUGAUUUUUCCUUUGCUCACAAUUUGCACUUCAUGAAUACCAGAUAGGAGAGAAAAGAGCAAAGGAGCCAAAGGGGAUCCACAUCCAGCUGCUCCAUUAGACAAUUUCCCCAUCUUCCUUCGACGACUUCGUCGCUACGGAAAAUGUGUGUGUGUUGUUCUUCUGUGCGCCUUGAGUCAAUUGAAGUGGAGGCCACAUGAGGCUCCCUCCCAGCAAAUUAUUCGAUUGAUGCACAGAGUAAACUUCCGUUUUGCCAUUGACCGUUUAAUGUGCCCCAUUCCGGGAAAACUGGGUACACAUGUGGCCAAAACUCACUAUCCAAUUGGGUAUGAAAACUUUAAAAUCGAGGCCAGGAGGUUAGAAAAAGUGGGCUAGGAUUGGUUUAAGAUUGGUUUUUAUAUACUCAGUACAGAGUGCAACUUUUACUGACUCAAAUAUAUAUAGCAUCACAACAUAUUUACUACCCUUCAAAACUCAUCGUUUGCACUACAAAAGCCACAAUAUCUGAAUGCAUAAUGCAGCCAUUUCAUUAGCAGCUCAUUGAGCUUGCCACAAUGUUUAUACUCCGUUCCACUUCCAUCGGCACUACAAUUCGCGCUGGCCAAACAUUUUCCCCAAAUAUGCAGCACCACACAUCAUUACUGCUGCUCCAGCUCCACUUGUGCGCCACUUCAUUAACAGAUUUUCCAUAGGGAGCCGCCGCCAAGUUGGACCGCAGAAAAGCCAGCGCCAUUAAAACGCAAUCGCCCAUCGGAAGCGAUCCGCUGUUGGCCAUGGCAACAGAAUCCGCAGCUGGCCGAAUAUAUUUAACCAAUAAUGCAAUUUCGCUUGUGGCCGACAAACUUGCGCGCAGCUGGCGAUUUGCACAGACAAUAGAUGAGUCCGAAACCGAAAAGGGAUUCAUUCCGGCUGGGGGAAUCCCCCGAUGGCAGGGGUAAACAGUAGCUGCCCGGAGGGCCUAGCUCCAAUGGAGUUUCGUCGAUUGACCAACUGUCCACCAGUGUCCAUUGUGAACUAUACCCCUUUCCCAUUUCCGGCCGUCAAUUAAUUUUCCCCACCCAGUGGCACUGAUUCCGUUUGUUCAAUAAACGCAUAAUUAUGCGCAAUAAUUGCAUUAGCAAAUAUGGGCAUGGAAUUAAAGGCCACAGAGUAAUUAGGAAUGUCAUCAUCGUGUAAUCGUCCUCAGGGGGUGGCUGGCAAAAGAGCUCCUGCAUCUUGAGGCAUUUAAUUAGAGGCGUUAAGUUGGCUAAUGAAUGCGGCAAUCACACGAAGCCUCGACUUGCUCACUCGAGGCCAAAACACUCGGAUGCAGCUCAUCCUGGCCGUCUCAGCCUCACGUUUCAACCUCAGUGAGUUGUGAAUGCUGUGAAUGGUGAAUAGUGAGCAGUGAGUGUGCAGUCAGUUAGUCACUCGGUCUGCACAUGCCGGAUAAGUGAAUAGCAUUAAAUAAACAAACUGGCGAACAGCACAACAACUGCCAAACAACAGCCGGCAGGAAUAAAGACUACAAAACUGAUGCACUGCGGAGGAAAUACGAAAAAUUGUGGCAGUCAAAAGGACGAAGGAAUUACGAGGCGAAUAAAGGAUACUCUAAUAUGAACAGAAGUGUAAUGCUCUCCAACUUAAAAAUUAUAAUAAUACUAGCUUAUAAAGGUAGCAAAGGCUGGUAAAAAUGUAAUUUAAACUUUGAAACAUUCGUGUAAGAAUGCUUUUUUUCUAAAAAGCAACCUUUGAUUAAACAUAUUUGUAAAAUAAAUAAAAGCCUCGAUAGAACUACAAUAUGCCCGAUCAAAAAUCAUCGAGAUAAUAAAGAGGAAACCCGAGCACACACAUAGUGGAUAGUUGAUGUUCGAAUGUUUUCCCCAUUUCCUGAAAAUGUUCUCUGGUUUCGGGAUCUGAUGCAUUUGAUAAGCGUCACGUAGCACACGCCAGAAACCAUUCUGUACCAUGCCAUAUACCAAACCAUACCAGUUUUUUCCAGCAGCUGUGAGUGGAAAACUGAGAACUGAAAGCCUGGGCAACCGAUUGCCGAGUGCUUUAUUAUCCGUAUAGCAGUGGGCCACAAGGAUGCAUUUGCUUGCCACUUACACACACAAAGGGAUAGCGAAAUGGCGGAUCCACGUGGAUGGUACGUACCUGCAAGGAUAUGGAAGGAUACGAGGGGCAUUAGUAGGAAAUCUUAGCAGAGCACACCUGAAAACAUCCCAACUCCCACUACCCAGCUUGCAAUUGCAUUAGAAUUUAAGAUAAGUUCCAAGCAGCCAGGGAACACAGGAGUGUGAGUAAUGGCAAUGGGUUUGGGGGCCGAAGUGGAAGCUCCCAGAUUGGGGGACUCGGCUUACAGGUUGCUCCUGCUCCUGCUCCUGCCCCUGCUGCUUCUUAUUGUGUGUUGGAUUUGGAGCCGAAGUGUGUGUGGGGCAACUUGUUUACCAAACUUUAUUACAACUUGGCAAACAGUCGUCGCCUUUGUAGUUGGCUCGAGUCGAGUCGAGUUCUGUUGCUUUGUCUGCUAACUGAUUGCAGUUACAAUCAGUUUAUUGUACGGGCCUGCUGGAGAAUAGAUUCGCCUGGACACACACACACACACACAUGCGCCUAGCUACCUUGUAUCCUUGCAUCCUGGCAUCCUCGUAUCCUUGCAACAUGGCAAACAGCAGGAGCAAAGUGGAAAAAGGACUUUGUAGCCGGCAACAAGCUGCACAAGAUGAUGCCAGAGUCGCCACUUGAGAGCGGAUAAUUUGUAAAUUCUAUAACUUGAAGUAGUAAAGUUUGGCGGCACUAGACAUACAAGCUACAUUGUAUCUUUCAAUUAUAGGAAUGCGUUUUCUAGCUUAGUAUGGGUGAUUUUAAUUGUACGCUUUCUAAACAAUCUUAAACUACUUUCAAAAGCGUCAGCUUUGCGUUGACUGACUCAAAAUUGAUCAUAUGUGACUUAAAGUAAUUUUUUUCUAUUAUUCACACGAUGUUGUCACCCACAAAAUUACUGAACCCUAAAUCAAAAAUCAAUAGGGCCACACCAGCAAAAAAAUGUCAUAAGUGAUUUCCUGUUCCGUUUCACGUUCCAAUCAAGCGUAAAAUAAUUUUGUAAAAAUAUUUACCCAACUCGAGACCCGAAAAAUCGAAAAUAUGAAAGUUAUGUUAGCCAGCGGAAGAUGAAAAAUGAAUGGGGAAAAUGGGAAAAGCUAGUGGCUGAGCGGGUGACAACUGUCCUCCUAGGUUUUCCCGAAGCCACUCAACCAAGUGGGCUUUCGGCUUUCCAAGUGUCCCAGCUCGGAGCGAUCCGCUUGAAUGCGUGGUCGCCGCCCAACGGGAUGAUGGUGUACAUCAGUGUCAGAUUAGGGCGUGGCCGGGCCAAAAUCACAGACAUAACCGCCACUCUCACACUUCUGAGGACAUACAUAUAUAUGUACAUAAGUGUACAUGGAUAGGUAUAGGAACAUUCGGAGCUUCCUGAGAAGGCGCAUAAAUUCCAGACACUGCCGCCCUGGAGAUUUGUGGUGCGGAGACCACAUCAAACAUGGCAGAUUUUCACGGACUCGCCGGCUGGCGGGGCAUGGAGUUUCUGAGACAGAGACUAAGUGUGGGUUAAGCACACUUGAAGUAUGUGCACGCUUGGGUUAAGAAAAAGGAUUUGCAGGCGCCCAAGGAGCUACUCCCCGCCCAUCCAACCGGAUUUAUGUGUGGGUACACCGGAAAAUAAUCGUCGCACUUUGGAAAGGCUCCAUUGAACCAGCUUUUUAUGUCAGCCCCGCUUUUCUUGCUGUGUAAAAGCUGAGGAAAGAAAACCCGACAUCCAUUGGGUUGUGGGGGGAAAAUAUGAAAAGUCGUCGUUGGGAUCUCCUGCCAAGGUGAGGAUUGUGGUCUCACUGCGGUCCUGAGUUCCUGAGGUCCUUGCUGCUUACGAUGUAUAAAAUAUAUGUAUAAAAGUGUCGGUAUGUGAAUGCGAUUUCUCGUAGUUUGGCUUUUCCGCCUGCGACAGCCACGAGUAAUGCAAUUAUAUUGAGGCAGGUUUUCUGUCACAACUUUUUC
rnacentral:sRNA from 1 species